ensembl:snRNA U6 U6 spliceosomal RNA
GUGCUCGCGUCUGUAGCACAUACUAAAAUUGGAACGAUACAGAGUAGAUUAGCAUGGCCCCUGUGCAAGGAUGACACACAAAUUCAUGAAGCGUUUCAUAUUAAA